rnacentral:rRNA from 1 species
AGUGAACGCUGGCGGUAGGCCUAACACAUGCAAGUCGAACGGCAGCACAGUAAGAGCUUGCUCUUACGGGUGGCGAGUGGCGGACGGGUGAGGAAUACAUCGGAAUCUACUUUUUCGUGGGGGAUAACGUAGGGAAACUUACGCUAAUACCGCAUACGACCUACGGGUGAAAGCAGGGGAUCUUCGGACCUUGCGCGAUUGAAUGAGCCGAUGUCGGAUUAGUUAGUUGGCGGGGUAAAGGCCCACCAAGGCGACGAUCCGUAGCUGGUCUGAGAGGAUGAUCGGCCACACUGGAACUGAGACACGGUCCAGACUCCUACGGGAGGCAGCAGUGGGGAAUAUUGGACAAUGGGCGCAAGCCUGAUCCAGCCAUACCGCGUGGGUGAAGAAGGCCUUCGGGUUGUAAAGCCCUUUUGUUGGGAAAGAAAAGCAGCAGGUUAAUACCCCGCUGUUCUGACGGUACCCAAAGAACAAGCACCGGCUAACUUCGUG